rnacentral:misc_RNA from 1 species
AUGACGAGAAUGAAUAUUGUCAGAUGUCGGAGACGACACAAAAUUUUGGAAAAUUUGGAAGAAGAGAAUCUCGGCCCGAGCUGCUCGUCGACGACUUCAACAACCGCUGCCACCGAAGCUCUCGGAACAACCACUGAGGAUAUGAGGCUUAAGCAGCAGCGAAGCUCGUCGCGUGCCACGGAGCACGAUAUUGUCGACGGCAAUCACCACGACGACGAGCACAUCACAAUGAGACGGCUUCGACUUGUCAAAAAUUCGCGGACGCGGCGUAGAACGACGCCCGAUUCAAGUAUGGACUGCUAUGAGGAAAACCCGCCAUCACAAAAAACUUCAAUAAAUUAUUCUUGGAUUUCUAAAAAGUCAUCAAUGACGUCAUUAAUGCUUUUACUGCUAUUCGCUUUUGUACAGCCGUGUGCCUCAAUAGUCGAAAAACGAUGCGGCCCAAUCGAUAUUCGAAAUAGGCCGUGGGAUAUUAAGCCGCAAUGGUCGAAACUUGGUGAUCCGAACGAAAAAGAUUUGGCUGGUCAGAGAAUGGUCAACUGCACAGUGGUGGAAGGUUCGCUGACAAUCUCAUUUGUACUGAAACACAAGACAAAAGCACAAGAAGAAAUGCAUCGAAGUCUACAGCCAAGAUAUUCCCAAGACGAAUUUAUCACUUUUCCGCAUCUACGUGAAAUUACUGGAACUCUGCUCGUUUUUGAGACUGAAGGAUUAGUGGAUUUGCGUAAAAUUUUCCCAAAUCUUCGUGUAAUUGGAGGCCGUUCGCUGAUUCAACACUAUGCGCUGAUAAUUUAUCGAAAUCCGGAUUUGGAGAUCGGUCUUGACAAGCUUUCCGUAAUUCGAAAUGGUGGUGUACGGAUAAUCGAUAAUCGAAAACUGUGCUACACGAAAACGAUUGAUUGGAAACAUUUGAUCACUUCUUCCAUCAACGAUGUUGUCGUUGAUAAUGCUGCCGAGUACGCUGUCACUGAGACUGGAUUGAUGUGCCCACGUGGAGCUUGCGAAGAGGAUAAAGGCGAAUCAAAGUGUCAUUAUUUGGAGGAAAAGAAUCAGGAACAAGGUGUCGAAAGAGUUCAGAGUUGUUGGUCGAACACCACUUGCCAAAAGUCUUGUGCUUAUGAUCGUCUUCUUCCAACGAAAGAAAUCGGACCGGGAUGUGAUGCGAACGGCGAUCGAUGUCACGAUCAAUGCGUGGGCGGUUGUGAGCGUGUGAAUGAUGCGACAGCAUGCCACGCGUGCAAGAAUGUCUAUCACAAGGGAAAGUGUAUCGAAAAGUGUGAUGCUCACCUGUACCUUCUCCUUCAACGUCGUUGUGUGACCCGUGAGCAGUGUCUGCAGCUGAAUCCGGUGCUCUCGAACAAAACAGUGCCUAUCAAGGCGACGGCAGGCCUUUGCUCGGAUAAAUGUCCCGAUGGUUAUCAAAUCAACCCGGAUGAUCAUCGAGAAUGCCGAAAAUGCGUUGGCAAGUGUGAGAUUGUGUGCGAGAUCAAUCACGUCAUUGAUACGUUUCCGAAGGCACAGGCGAUCAGGCUAUGCAAUAUUAUUGACGGAAAUCUGACGAUCGAGAUUCGCGGAAAACAGGAUUCGGGAAUGGCGUCCGAGUUGAAGGAUAUAUUUGCGAACAUUCACACGAUCACCGGCUACCUGUUGGUACGUCAAUCGUCACCGUUUAUCUCGUUGAACAUGUUCCGGAAUUUACGACGUAUUGAGGCAAAGUCACUGUUCAGAAAUCUAUAUGCUAUCACAGUUUUUGAAAAUCCGAAUUUAAAAAAGCUAUUCGAUUCAACGACGGAUUUGACGCUUGAUCGUGGAACUGUGUCAAUUGCCAAUAACAAGAUGUUAUGCUUCAAGUAUAUCAAGCAGCUAAUGUCAAAGUUAAAUAUACCACUCGAUCCGAUAGAUCAAUCAGAAGGGACAAAUGGUGAGAAGGCAAUCUGUGAGGAUAUGGCAAUCAACGUGAGCAUCACAGCGGUCAACGCGGACUCGGUCUUCUUUAGUUGGCCCUCAUUCAACAUUACCGAUAUAGAUCAGCGAAAGUUUCUCGGCUACGAGCUCUUCUUCAAAGAAGUCCCACGAAUCGAUGAGAACAUGACGAUCGAAGAGGAUCGAAGUGCGUGUGUCGAUUCGUGGCAGAGUGUCUUCAAACAGUACUACGAGACGUCGAACGGUGAACCGACCCCGGACAUUUUUAUGGAUAUUGGACCGCGCGAGCGAAUUCGGCCGAAUACGCUCUACGCGUACUAUGUGGCGACGCAGAUGGUGUUGCAUGCCGGUGCGAAGAACGGUGUAUCGAAGAUUGGUUUUGUGAGGACGAGCUACUAUACGCCUGAUCCUCCGACGUUGGCACUAGCGCAAGUCGAUUCGGACGCUAUUCAUAUUACGUGGGAAGCGCCGCUCCAACCGAACGGAGACCUCACGCAUUACACAAUUAUGUGGCGUGAGAAUGAAGUGAGCCCGUACGAGGAAGCCGAAAAGUUUUGUACAGAUGCAAGCACCCCCGCAAAUCGACAACACACGAAAGAUCCGAAAGAGACGAUUGUAGCCGAUAAGCCAGUCGAUAUUCCGUCAUCACGUACCGUAGCUCCGACACUUUUGACUAUGAUGGGUCACGAAGAUCAGCAGAAAACGUGCGCUGCAACGCCCGGUUGUUGUUCGUGUUCGGCUAUCGAAGAAUCAUCGGAACAGAACAAGAAGAAGCGACCGGAUCCGAUGUCGGCGAUCGAAUCAUCUGCAUUUGAGAAUAAGCUGUUGGAUGAGGUUUUAAUGCCGAGAUGCGACAUAAAAAAUGAUCCUGUUGGAUGUGCAAUGCUUCUUCUACCACCUGAAAUUGAUGAUUCUGAUGUUGGUGAUGACGAUGAAGAGCCCGGCGGAGGCAGUGAGCAACAACAACGGAUUCUACGAAAUUCCGAGAUUCUGAAACGGCAAAAACGUCAGAUUUUGGGGCGCAGCCUUGGUGGAAUUCAUGGAAUUCGAUCGAUUGGACGGAAAGAAUAUGAACAGUUUGCUGAUAUGAUUUUGUAUGGAAAUUUGCAUGAUUUGAUGAUGUCUGUAAUGCAUGAUUAGGCGCGAAAUUUGAAUUUUUCAAAAAAAAUUCGAAUUUUUUGUCGGACUUGCUCUAUUUAUUAGAUUUUAGCAUAUUAAAAGUGGAAAAAUGAAUUUAAAAAAUGUUUUUCGAGAAUUUAAUAUUUAAUAAUUACAGUACAUAUUACAUUCGAAAUACUUUUUUGUUGUACGAAAGUUAAUUGAUUAAAAAUUUUUAGACAUUUUUUAGACAUUUCUCCUUACUAUCUGUUUGGAACACUGAAUUCUGAGAAUGCGUAUUGGACAACAAAUUUGACGCGCAAAAAUAUCUCGUAGCGAAAACUACAGUAAUUCUUGUAAUAACUACUGUAGCGCGUGUAUUUUUGUAUGUGUACUUGAUAAUCGUGAUGAAAAAAGUAAUAUUAUAACGACAUGAAUGAGAUAAUAAAUUUUGUGUCGAUUUACGGGUACGAUAUUCGAAAAGAAAAGAAAUUCAUUUCGAAUAUCGAGCCCGUAAAUCGACACAAAAUUUAUUAUCUCAUUCAUGUCGUUUUAAUAUUACUUUUUUCGUCACAAUAAGUACACAUACAAAUACACGCGCUACAGUAGUCAUUACUGUAGUUUUCGCUACGAGAUAUUUUUGCGCGUCAAAUCUGUUGCUCAAUAUGCAUUCUCAGAAUUUCGCGUUCCCGUAAUAAUAAAUAGAACAAUGUUUAUAAGUCCGACAAAAUUUGAUAAAUUGUUUUCCUCGAAAAAUUCCAAUUUCCCUUUCUCCGACUCUUCCUUCUAUUCUGCCUAUGCCUGCUCCAAGCCUAUUUAACAAUUAUCUAUAUUUUUUUUUCCGUUCUAUCAUUUCCAGUGGUGUUUUUGUAAUUUACAAAAAAAAAAGAGAGAAUCCUUUUUUUUUAAAUUAAUCAAAAAAUUGUGCCAUUUUUAGAGACACGAUGCGAGUGAGACGAUCAAUUGAAGACGCGAAUCGAGUCAGUGAAGAGUUGGAAAAAGCUGAAAAUUUGGGAAAAGCUCCAAAAACUCUCGGUGGAAAGAAGCCGCUGAUCCAUAUUUCGAAGAAGAAGCCGUCGAGCAGCAGCACCACAUCCACACCGGCUCCAACGAUCGCAUCAAUGUAUGCCUUAACAAGGAAACCGACUACGGUGCCGGGAACAAGGAUUCGGCUCUACGAGAUCUACGAACCUUUACCCGGAAGCUGGGCGAUUAAUGUAUCAGCUCUGGCAUUGGAUAAUAGUUAUGUGAUACGAAAUUUGAAGCAUUACACACUUUAUGCGAUUUCUCUAUCCGCGUGCCAAAACAUGACAGUACCCGGAGCAUCUUGCUCAAUAUCCCAUCGUGCGGGAGCAUUGAAACGAACAAAACACAUCACAGACAUUGAUAAAGUGUUGAAUGAAACAAUUGAAUGGAGAUUUAUGAAUAAUAGUCAACAAGUCAACGUGACGUGGGAUCCACCGACUGAAGUGAAUGGUGGAAUAUUCGGUUAUGUUGUAAAGCUUAAGUCAAAAGUCGAUGGAUCAAUUGUUAUGACGAGAUGUGUCGGUGCGAAGAGAGGAUAUUCAACACGGAAUCAGGGUGUCCUAUUCCAGAAUUUGGCCGAUGGACGUUAUUUUGUCUCAGUAACGGCGACCUCUGUACACGGCGCUGGACCGGAAGCCGAAUCCUCCGACCCAAUCGUCGUCAUGACGCCAGGCUUCUUCACUGUGGAAAUCAUUCUCGGCAUGCUUCUCGUCUUUUUGAUUUUAAUGUCAAUUGCCGGUUGUAUAAUCUACUACUACAUUCAAGUACGCUACGGCAAAAAAGUGAAAGCUCUAUCUGACUUUAUGCAAUUGAAUCCCGAAUAUUGUGUGGACAAUAAGUACAAUGCAGACGAUUGGGAGCUACGGCAGGAUGAUGUUGUGCUCGGACAACAGUGUGGAGAGGGAUCAUUCGGAAAAGUGUACCUAGGAACUGGAAAUAAUGUUGUUUCUCUGAUGGGUGAUCGUUUCGGACCGUGUGCUAUUAAGAUUAAUGUAGAUGAUCCAGCGUCGACUGAGAAUCUCAACUAUCUCAUGGAAGCUAAUAUUAUGAAGAACUUUAAGACUAACUUUAUCGUCAAACUGUACGGAGUUAUCUCUACUGUACAACCAGCGAUGGUUGUGAUGGAAAUGAUGGAUCUUGGAAAUCUCCGUGACUAUCUCCGAUCGAAACGCGAAGACGAAGUGUUCAAUGAGACGGACUGCAACUUUUUCGACAUAAUCCCGAGGGAUAAAUUCCAUGAGUGGGCCGCACAGAUUUGUGAUGGUAUGGCGUACCUGGAGUCGCUCAAGUUUUGCCAUCGAGAUCUCGCCGCACGUAAUUGCAUGAUAAAUCGGGAUGAGACUGUCAAGAUUGGAGAUUUCGGAAUGGCUCGUGAUCUAUUCUAUCAUGACUAUUAUAAGCCAUCGGGCAAGCGUAUGAUGCCUGUUCGAUGGAUGUCACCCGAGUCGUUGAAAGACGGAAAGUUUGACUCGAAAUCUGAUGUUUGGAGCUUCGGAGUUGUUCUCUAUGAAAUGGUUACACUCGGUGCUCAGCCAUAUAUUGGUUUGAGUAAUGAUGAGGUGUUGAAUUAUAUUGGAAUGGCCCGGAAGGUUAUCAAGAAGCCCGAAUGUUGUGAAAACUAUUGGUAUAAGGUGAUGAAAAUGUGCUGGAGAUACUCACCUCGGGAUCGUCCGACGUUCCUCCAGCUCGUUCAUCUUCUAGCAGCUGAAGCUUCACCAGAAUUCCGAGAUUUAUCAUUUGUCCUAACCGAUAAUCAAAUGAUCCUUGACGAUUCAGAAGCACUGGAUCUUGAUGAUAUUGAUGAUACUGAUAUGAAUGAUCAGGUUGUCGAGGUGGCACCGGAUGUUGAGAACGUCGAGGUUCAGAGUGAUUCGGAACGUCGGAAUACGGAUUCAAUACCGUUGAAACAGUUUAAGACGAUCCCUCCGAUCAAUGCGACGACGAGUCAUUCGACAAUAUCGAUUGAUGAGACACCGAUGAAAGCGAAGCAGCGAGAAGGAUCGCUGGAUGAGGAGUACGCAUUGAUGAAUCAUAGUGGAGGUCCGAGUGAUGCGGAAGUUCGGACGUAUGCUGGUGAUGGAGAUUAUGUGGAGAGAGAUGUUCGAGAGAAUGAUGUGCCAACGCGACGAAAUACUGGUGCAUCAACAUCAAGUUACACAGGUGGUGGUCCAUAUUGCCUAACAAAUCGUGGUGGUUCAAAUGAACGAGGAGCCGGUUUCGGUGAAGCAGUACGAUUAACUGAUGGUGUUGGAAGUGGACAUUUAAAUGAUGAUGAUUAUGUUGAAAAAGAGAUAUCAUCCAUGGAUACGCGCCGGAGCACGGGCGCCUCGAGCUCUUCCUACGGUGUUCCACAGACGAAUUGGAGUGGAAAUCGUGGUGCCACGUAUUAUACGAGUAAAGCUCAACAGGCAGCAACUGCAGCAGCAGCAGCAGCAGCAGCUCUCCAACAGCAACAAAAUGGUGGUCGAGGCGAUCGAUUAACUCAACUACCCGGAACUGGACAUUUACAAUCGACACGUGGUGGACAAGAUGGAGAUUAUAUUGAAACUGAACCGAAAAAUUAUAGAAAUAAUGGAUCUCCAUCGCGAAACGGCAACAGCCGUGACAUUUUCAACGGACGUUCGGCUUUCGGUGAAAAUGAGCAUCUAAUCGAGGAUAAUGAGCAUCAUCCACUUGUCUGA